AUUGAACGCUGGCGGCGUGCCUAAUACAUGCAAGUAGAACGCAGUUGCGAACGGGUGAGUAACGCGUAGGUAACUGCCUCAUAGCGGGGGAUAACGAUUGGAAACGAUAGCUAAUACCGCAUACUGUGUGAUGGACCUGCGUGGUAUUAGGUAGUUGGUGAGGUAAAGGCUCACCAAGGCGACGAUACUUAGCCGACCUGAGAGGGUGACAGGCCACACUGGGACUGAGAACCGGCCCAGCCCCCCCAGUGAGGCAGCAGGAGGGCAUCUGCGGAAAUGGACGGAAGUCUGAACGAGCAACGCCGGGUGAGGGAAGAAGGUUUUAGGAUCGUAAAGCUCUGUUGGUAGAGAAGCGGUAACUAACCAGAAAGGGACGGCUAACUACGUGCCAGCAGCCGCGGUAAUUC
rnacentral:rRNA from 1 species